rnacentral:rRNA from 1 species
UGGGGAAUAUUGCACAAUGGGCGAAAGCCUGAUGCAGCAACGCCGCGUGAGUGAUGAAGGUCUUCGGAUUGUAAAGCUCUGUCUUUUGGGACGAUAAUGACGGUACCAAAGGAGGAAGCCACGGCUAACUACGUGCCAGCAGCCGCGGUAAUACGUAGGUGGCGAGCGUUGUCCGGAUUUACUGGGCGUAAAGGGUGCGUAGGCGGAUGUUUAAGUGAGAUGUGAAAUACCCGGGCUUAACUUGGGUGCUGCAUUUCAAACUGGAUACCUAGAGUGCAGGAGAGGAGAAUGGAAUUCCUAGUGUAGCGGUGAAAUGCGUAGAGAUUAGGAAGAACACCAGUGGCGAAGGCGAUUCUCUGGACUGUAACUGACGCUGAGGCACGAAAGCGUGGGUAGCAAACAGGAUUAGAUACCCUGGUAGUCCACGCCGUAAACGAUGAGUACUAGGUGUAGGAGGUAUCGACCCCUUCUGUGCCGCAGUAAACACAUUAAGUACUCCGCCUGGGGAAGUACGAUCGCAAG